CGACGAAACAGUAAUAAUUUUGCAUUUUCAGACAGGUGUUACCACUGAGACAAUGCUGAAGAUAACUGUCUUGCUUGGAUGCCUCCUGAGCCUCACUUUGGCUUAUCCCACUGGGGCUGAGCACCAGCGGAUUGCUCGCUCUUUAUCCAACUCUGACUCCAACGAGCUUGGCUCUCCCUUGUUUCCCUUCCUGGCUGAGAAGGCUCAAGAACAGCUAAUGCAACUCCUUCUCACCCUGUUACAGCAAACCCUAGCACCGGCCCCGGGCCCGAACCCAGCCCCGGGCCCAGCUACGCCUACCCCUGCUUCUGCUCCAAAAUGAAAUUACUUCACUGGGAAUCCAUUGAAAA